UGAUUUGGCAGUGAAAUCAAUUCGAAAAUACCAAGGACAAACUUACAUAAAUUGGAAAUAAAGCCAGACAUAGAUUUAUUCAGCCACGUUUUCACGAAUUUCGCUGCAUUUUUUUGCUAAGGGCCCUGCAAAUAAGUAGUCACACGGUGUCCAGAAUUUGUACGCUGAAGUUGACCUGCCAAACGAUCUCCCACAAAAAGCUCUCCUCUCUUGCUCUCUCAAGGUUGAAAUUAACCCCAAGACUCGUCACAAUGUCUGGACAACCACCACAACCCUUGGACCGCACUUCUCAAGCGAGAUACCAAGAGCUACAAGAUGAGAAUCAGCAAAUUAAUGAAUCGCUCAGAUACCAUAAAGACGCAAUUAGGAAAUUGAAGAUCAGACGGGAAAACUUAAAAAGCCAAUUAGAUCUGCUUACCUCGGGGUGGACGGAGGAAGAAAAGCUCAGGCAACUUCUCUACAUCUGGGUCGCCAAAGUCAAAGUUCGGGAUUGGGGGCACCGGCCAGCGUUGCUCCAUCGCUCGGUGGACCGUCUUUCGUUGGACCGUCCAUCAGUGGAGCUGUGGUUAGUGGAGUGGUCAUCGGUUCUUCCGUUGGGAAUAUGAAUAUUAGUUUUUGUGACUCCUUGUGCUUAAUUUGUUUGUUUAAAUUUUGAGUUUUGAAUCUGAGUUUCGAGUUUUUUGUUUUUGAAUUGAACACAACGUUUGCUGCCUAGUGCGUGUGAUCCCCAAUUAUUCUUUUAUAAUUCCAAAUUUGAUUAGCUGCGUACUUCUUAUUCGUGCCAAUUUUUCUAGCAAAUAAUUUAUGAAGUUCUAAAUGUUUUUUUAAUAAUUAUAAAUAUAGUUCUGUAAUUGUAAUGCUACUCAAUUCUGAAUAAUAAAUAAACAAUUUCUCAGGUA